rnacentral:rRNA from 1 species
GAUGAACGCUGGCGGCGUGCUUAACACAUGCAAGUCGAACGGAAAGGCCCUGCUUUUGUUCGGUUCUCGAUUGCCGAACGCGUGAGUAUCACGUGAGUAUCCUCCCCUUGUCUUUCGGAUAUCUUCACGAAACUGCGGCUAUUAUCGCAUAUGAUCUCCUGCUGCAUGUGGGUCGUUGGAAAGUUUCGGCGGUUGGGGAUGUACUCGCGGCUUAUCCGCUUCUUGGUGGGGUAGUGGCUUACGAAGCGUUUGACGGGUAGCCGGCCUGAGAGGGUUGCCGGGGACCAUGGGACUGAGGGACGGACCAGACGGCUACGGGAGGCAGUAGGGGGAAGUAUUGCACAGUGGGGGGAAGCCUGAGACAGAAACGCCGCGUGCGGGAUGACGGCCUUCGGGUUGAAAACAGAUUUCGCAUGUGACGAAGAGUGAGUGACGGUAAUGGGUAAAGAAGCAACGGCUAACUACGUG